rnacentral:rRNA from 1 species
CAGUAGCCACGGUAAUACGUAGGUGGCAAGCGUUGUCCGGAAUUAUUGGGCGUAAAGGGCUCGCAGGCGGUUUCUUAAGUCUGAUGUGAAAGCCCCCAGCUCAACCGGGGAGGGUCAUUGGAAACUGGGAAACUUGAGUGCAGAAGAGGAGAGUGGAAUUCCACGUGUAGCGGUGAAAUGCGUAGAGAUGUGGAGGAACACCAGUGGCGAAAGCGACUCUCUGGUCUGUAACUGACGCUGAGGAGCGAAAGCGUGGGGAGCGAACAGGAUUAGAUACCCCCGUAGUCCCUGUCUCUUAUAC